rnacentral:lncRNA from 1 species
AUUUUGACAACAAAAACACAUGAAACAUGCCUCAAAUGAACAAACUCAGCUUGACCAAGCACCAACAUACCAGAAUGCACAUAAACCACUUUGUUUGAGCUUGAUCACAGCAAGAUGACACUACACCCAACAUCCACCAAUCUAACACAAACAUCACAAAAGCAUAAUUCCUAAGCAACUAAAAUGACUAAAGACAAUCAAAACAACUUCACACAAUCAAAACAUAACAAAAUAAGAAAAACACACAAAAGAAGGG